AGAUCUUGUAGAAGCAAUCACAACUCAAUGUGCUACGGUCAUGAGGUUGUUAGUGAGUUAGCAAGAAACAGCAUCGACGUAAAUGCUUCAGCAAGUAGAUAAGUUGGUCACAUUAUUGACCGACCAAAGCAAGGCUCUUUCAAUCUCAUCAAAGGUUAGUCCAGUAGUUUGUUCUGUUGAAAAUACCUAAUCUUCAGGACAACCAUCCUUUGCACAAAAUUUACAGUAUAGAAAUGUAAAAAUUCUAGAGCAGCC
rnacentral:lncRNA from 1 species